GAUGAACGCUGGCGGCGUGCCUAACACAUGCAAGUCGAGCGAGAAGGUUGCAAAUGAUUCUUCGGAAGAAUGCGCAACUGGAGAGCGGCGGACGGGUGAGUAACGCGUGGGUAACCUGCCCUAUGGAGGGGGAUAACUAAGAGAAAUCUUAGCUAAUACCGCAUAAGCGCACAGCAUCGCAUGAUGCCGUGUGAAAAACUCCGGUGCCAUAGGAUGGACCCGCGUCAGAUUAGCUAGUUGGUGAGGUAACGGCUCACCAAGGCGACGAUCUGUAGCCGACCUGAGAGGGUGAUCGGCCACAUUGGGACUGAGACACGGCCCAAACUCCUACGGGAGGCAGCAGUGGGGGAUAUUGCACAAUGGGCGAAAGCCUGAUGCAGCAACGCCGCGUGAAGGAAGACGGUUUUCGGAUUGUAAACUUCUAUCAGCAGGGAAGAAAAAAGACGGUACCUGACUAAGAAGCCCCGGCUAACUACGUG
rnacentral:rRNA from 1 species